AACGGCCAACAUGGAGCUCGAACCUACCACCCUGAGAUUAAAAGUCUCGUGCUCUACAGACUGAGCUAGCCGGGU